GCCUACGGGAGGCAGCAGUGGGGAAUAUUGGACAAUGGGCGAAAGCCUGAUCCAGCCAUGCCGCGUGUGUGAAGAAGGUCUUCGGAUUGUAAAGCACUUUAAGUUGGGAGGAAGGGUUGUAGAUUAAUACUCUGCAAUUUUGACGUUACCAACAGAAUAAGCACCGGCUAACUUCGUGCCAGCAGCCGCGGUAAUACGAAGGGUGCAAGCGUUAAUCGGAAUUACUGGGCGUAAAGCGCGCGUAGGUGGUUCGUUAAGUUGGAUGUGAAAGCCCCGGGCUCAACCUGGGAACUGCAUCCAAAACUGGCGAGCUAGAGUACGGUAGAGGGUUGUGGAAUUUCCUGUGUAGCGGUGAAAUGCGUAGAUAUAGGAAGGAACACCAGUGGCGAAGGCGACCACCUGGACUGAUACUGACACUGAGGUGCGAAAGCGUGGGGAGCAAACAGGAUUAGAUACCCCAGUAGUC
rnacentral:rRNA from 1 species